GACGAACCGUGCGAACGUUGUUCGGAAUCACUGGGCUUAAAGGGCGCGUAGGCGGGCUGCCAAGUCUGGGGUGAAAUCCCACGGCUCAACCGUGGAACUGCCUCGGAUACUGGCGGUCUCGAGGGAGGUAGGGGCAUGCGGAACUGUGGGUGGAGCGGUGAAAUGCGUUGAUAUCCACAGGAACUCCGGUGGCGAAAGCGGCGUGCUGGACCUCUUCUGACGCUGAGGCGCGAAAGCGUGGGGAGUCAAACAGGA
rnacentral:rRNA from 1 species